GCCAAAUCAAUACAAACGUCAGUUAAUUUGAAUUGUUUUUGAGCAAUUUGGAUGUAAUAGUUCAAUUUUGCUUUACCUUUCUCAAAGUUGGUGGAUUUUAUUGAAUAAACGUUUAAAAAAGUGAUAUUGGUAAUAAAUGUGUGUUAAAUUUAAUAAUCGAAAAUGUAUUCAUGUGAAGGAUAUUUUAUCUAAAUGUGUUUGUAGUUUGUGUGUUAAAAUAAUUAUUUUAAAAAUAAAAACAAAGUGGUGAAUACUACUUCAAAAAUAUUUGUCACAAACUGUACCAUCUGCUGGUGAUGUAUGCGUUUGAAAUUAAAAGUGCUUAGGUGGAACAUACGUUUACAUAUUAACAUUUUCGUGCAAAAGCAAACAUCUUUUGUUUGUGAUACAAUUUGUCCUGAAGUCGAGAAACAACGCUCAGAGGAAGUGGAUGUCGCUGCAUUCCAAUGGAUCCCGUGCAUUGUGGCUUAACUGUGGCUGAGAGAGAUAUAGUUGGAAUUCGUUACAGUUUAAAACAUCGGUUUGAGCGUCUAGCAAAUGAUUCAUCGCUGUGCAUUUGUCAGUUCCAUCCGCUGUAGUAUCUAAAGGCUCAGAACUUUCAAUUAAAUUUCGCAUAUGUGAUCUUAUUGAAUUUUUAUCUUCUUCGUUUUCAGCCUCUAGGUUCUUUUACCAAGUGUCAAAAAACGAAGAAACUUGCUCAGUUAGAACAUCUUCUUACCCUUAAACUUAAAUUUAAGGGCUUAUCUUGAGGCAGUGAUUUCCCUAUCCGAUAAGAUUGAAAUUACAGCACUUCGAUUUGCCAAAAGCAAUCAAUUUGAAUCAAUUUUAGCUCUUGUAGCCCAAGUUGCCUUUGUUUCUUUCUAAGAUCGGUAGCUGCAAUGUUCGAGUGAUGAAAAUGUCCCACCAAAGACCUCAUUUUAUUCAGGAGCAUCGAAAACGUUUCCACUGAACUAAUUGCAUUUUUUACACAAAUUUGUAGUGUGUGCUGCACAACAAAUACUCUUUUCAACCUCUUCAACUUUAUAGGUUGAUGACAGGACAUUAGCAGCAUUGUCGAUAACCUCUGCAUAUAGUACCUUACCUUGCAACUUGCAAGUACCAUUCUGCAACAAUUGAUUCCAAAAAUAAAGCUAAGUUUGCAGUUGUGUCUUGUGUGCCUUUCCUCCAUAUACUCAGCGCACAAUAAUUAUAGCUUUUCAAUUUCCAAUCAUCAUUGAUAAAAUGGAUGGUUAACGAUACUUACGAGUCUUCUACUUUGGACGACCAACCAUCUGUUUUCAAAGCCAGGAAGG